GGAGAUGAAAUUGGCACCCAUAUAAAUGAUAGCGACUAGUACCGCCAUCCAUCUCAGACUGAUAGUCUUGAUGACAUGUUUGAGGACACUUAUUUUCAUGUCAAUAUACCACUGCCCACCCACAACCAAUCAGAGAGUACAGAAAAUAGGGGGGGGGGAUCUUCUGCUCAAUCAAAAAAAGGAAAAGGAAAACGGAAAAUGCCCACUGAAGUUGAAGCAAUACAAGAGAUUAAUAACACAAUUAAAGAGACAUUGCUAACAAAGAAGUCUACUCGAAAUUUGGAAUUUGCAAAAGAAUUGAUUAGUGAGUGCAUGAAAUUGAAAGUAUAUGGCUACUGUGGCCAUCAAAUCAAUAAGGCCUAUGAUUGGUUAAUGUCCGACGAUAGUAGAGCUAUGGCUUUCUUAGCAAAGGAUGAAAGCUAUGGAAGUAUUGGGCGAAGGACUUCUUUGAAUCAAUUCACAAACAAGAAGAAUAUUUUCGAAGUCCCAUUUAGGGUGUUGGAGCAUGUGGACAUGAUUUAUCAAUGAAACCUAGACGAAUGCUAUUGGUUAUUUAUCGUAUUGAAAGGCGGCAAAUGUAGCAUGAGAUUGUAAACUCUAAAAUUUGACUAUGUAAUGAUUGCCUUCUUGAUUUUGGAUGUGUUUUUUUUGUAUAUGUGCACUAAUUGUUGAGUUAUUUUUGUGUUGUUAAGUAUGAAACUUUGAACUUAAUUGUGCUUGAGGA